UUAGAGUUUGAUCCUGGCUCAGGAUGAACGCUAGCGGCAGGCUUAACACAUGCAAGUCGAGGGGCAGCGAGAUCAGUGCUUGCACUGAUUGUCGGCGACCGGCGCACGGGUGCGUAACGCGUAUGCAACCUACCCAUUACAGGGGGAUAACACUGAGAAAUCGGUACUAAUACCCCAUAACAUCCAGGGAGGCAUCUUCUUGGGUUGAAAACUCCGGUGGUAAUGGAUGGGCAUGCGUUGUAUUAGUUAGUUGGUGGGGUAACGGCUCACCAAGACAACGAUACAUAGGGGGACUGAGAGGUUAACCCCCCACAUUGGUACUGAGACACGGACCAAACUCCUACGGGAGGCAGCAGUGAGGAAUAUUGGUCAAUGGACGCAAGUCUGAACCAGCCAUGCCGCGUGCAGGAAGACGGCUCUAUGAGUUGUAAACUGCUUUUGUACGAGGGUAAACGCAGAUACGCGUAUCUGUCUGAAAGUAUCGUACGAAUAAGGAUCGGCUAACUCCGUGCCAGCAGCCGCGGUAAUACGGAGGAUUCAAGCGUUAUCCGGAUUUAUUGGGUUUAAAGGGUGCGUAGGCGGUCGGAUAAGUUAGAGGUGAAAUCCCGGGGCUCAACUUCGGAAUUGCCUCUGAUACUGUUCGGCUAGAGAGUAGUUGCGGUAGGCGGAAUGUAUGGUGUAGCGGUGAAAUGCUUAGAGAUAAAACAGAACACCGAUUGCGAAGGCAGCUUACCAAGCUACUUCUGACGUUGAGGCACGAAAGCGUGGGCUUUAAAGGGGAUUAGAUACCCUGGUAGUCCACGCAGUAAACGAUGAUAACUCGUUGUCGGCGAUACAGUGUCGGUGACUAAGCGAAAGCGAUAAGUUAUCCACCUGGGGAGUACGUUCGCAAGAAUGAAACUCAAAGGAAUUGACGGGGGCCCGCACAAGCGGAGGAACAUGUGGUUUAAUUCGAUGAUACGCGAGGAACCUUACCCGGGCUUGAAAGUUAGUGACGGAUCUUGAAAGAGGUCUUCCCUUCGGGGCACGAAACUAGGUGCUGCAUGGUUGUCGUCAGCUCGUGCCGUGAGGUGUCGGGUUAAGUCCCAUAACGAGCGCAACCCCUACCGUUAGUUGCCAGCAGGUCAAGCUGGGCACUCUGACGGGACUGCCGGUGUAAGCCGAGAGGAAGGUGGGGAUGACGUCAAAUCAGCACGGCCCUUACGUCCGGGGCUACACACGUGUUACAAUGGCAGGUACAGAGGGCAGCUACCCAGCGAUGGGAUGCGAAUCUCGAAAGCCUGUCUCAGUUCGGAUUGGAGGCUGAAACCCGCCUCCAUGAAGUUGGAUUCGCUAGUAAUCGCGCAUCAGCCAUGGCGCGGUGAAUACGUUCCCGGGCCUUGCACACACCGCCCGUCA
rnacentral:rRNA from 1 species